GGGCUAUUAGCUCAGGUGGUUAGAGCGCACCCCUGAUAAGGGUGAGGUCCCUGGUUCAAGUCCAGGAUGGCCCA
rnacentral:ncRNA from 15 species